CCUACGGGAGGCAGCAGUGGGGAAUCUUGCGCAAUGGGCGAAAGCCUGACGCAGCCAUGCCGCGUGAAUGAUGAAGGUCUUAGGAUUGUAAAAUUCUUUCACCGAGGACGAUAAUGACGGUACUCGGAGAAGAAGCCCCGGCUAACUUCGUGCCAGCAGCCGCGGUAAUACGAAGGGGGCUAGCGUUGCUCGGAAUUACUGGGCGUAAAGGGAGCGUAGGCGGAUAGUUUAGUCAGAGGUGAAAGCCCAGGGCUCAACCUUGGAAUUGCCUUUGAUACUGGCUAUCUUGAGUACGGAAGAGGUAUGUGGAACUCCGAGUGUAGAGGUGAAAUUCGUAGAUAUUCGGAAGAACACCAGUGGCGAAGGCGACAUACUGGUCCGUUACUGACGCUGAGGCUCGAAAGCGUGGGGAGCAAACAGGAUUAGAUACCCUGGUAGUCCACGCUGUAAACGAUGAGUGCUAGUUGUCGGCAUGCAUGCAUGUCGGUGACGCAGCUAACGCAUUAAAGCACUCCGCCUGGGGAGUACGGUCGCAAGAUUAAAACUUAAAGGAAUUGACGG
rnacentral:rRNA from 1 species